GUUGUCCUGAAGCCGUUGACGGCCGCGGACGAGCAUGGCUGCUCUACAUCCGGGGUUUCGCCGUCACUUCAUUUUGCUCAAAGGGUCCUGUGCAGCAACGGGGACGCCAUUGAGUGUCGUUGGCGUGUCGACCACUUCCCAGGUUCUAGCAGAUUGUUGGUGGAGACCGCUACAGCAGGCUGGUGCAGACUGGUGGUGUUGGUGGGGACCGCUACAGCCAUCGGAAGGGAUUUGGCAGGAGGUGGAGCCUUCUUUGCUUGACUUUUACUGCCAAGGUAGCUUUUUCCCUUCCCAUGGUUCUUCCCUUUCAUUAUUGAUGCAUUUACCUGCAAUCCUGAGCCUCAACCUGGUGUAUUUGGUGAUCACUCUCCUCUUGACAUCAUGGCAGGAUGGAAGGUUUGAUUUCACAGUCAUGGCCUCUUCCACUAGUUCACUGACUGAGCACUCCAUUAGGGCUUCUGAUGUCCUGGCCCGGAACAGCUGCUCAACGUGCUGCAGUAAAGAGAAUACAUCCGUAGAUGGCUGGUGAAGUGCGCCCUCUCUGUACUCCUUCAUCUGCAGCAGUGUGGCGUUGUCCGGUACAGCGUCGUCACUGUUCCUUAAGGCAGGCUUACAGGCCGAACACAAAGAGCCGCCUAGUACACCCUUGAUGACGUAUCCGGCCAGAUGGUAUAGCACACAGGACUCCGCUUUUGUGGAAAUGAUUCUGCUCCUACUGCAUGAGACUGCUGCUGUUGAUGGGGAAGUGCUUUUGCCAGAAAUGGCUUAGUUGCAGGUGGUGGCUUUCUUGAGUUGCACUGAUAAGGUAACCUAACUAACCUUUUGAGGACCCUUACAGUAAGUAAUAUUAUAUCUGUGUCUAACAUUUUGUAUUUCCGGUGAUUGAGGUCUUUAGCUGCAAAAUGUAUAGGACUUUGGUCACACUAGUAGGGCCGGAUAUAUGUGCACAGCAACAUAGUUGUCUUUUUUUUGUUUCUAUACGCCAUCCCAAUGGAAUUCAAAUGAAACUACGGUAACAAGAGAAUAAAAGUGCCUUUCAAAACAUUCAAGGAUCAGAGAGAAGUAAUAAUAAAACGAAGACACAUUAACACAUUUUUAACAAAAAUAAAACGGUAGUUAAAAAGUCCUAAGGAAUAGGCUAACUGAAACAAAUGAGUUUUUAGUCUGCAUUUGAACUUGGGUAAUAAGUCAGGGGGCAGUGCAUUCCAGAGCUGAGGAGCAGAGCAACUGAAAAGCUCUAUUCCCCAUGGUACUGAGAUGGGCAGAGGGACAGAGAGGAGGAUGGUCGAGGACAAACCGAGGUAGCGAGAGGGAAUGGCAAGGCAAGAUAGUUGCAAGAUUGUGAAUGGCCUGGAAGGUGUGCAGGACAGGAGUAUUUUAAGAAGCACAGGGUAUUGAGCACUCAGAGACAUAGCCAAGGUAAGAAUGGAAGACGCCGAACAACCAUUCAACAAGUUAAUUGAGUCAAGACUGGGUCAAGAAAUACCAGAGGACAGUUUUCAAAGGUAUGGACUAGUGAAAGUGACUGUUGACAGACAGGGUGUCAAGACAAUGGUAUUUGUGUCGUAUUCGUGGGUAAGCGGUUAGGGUGUCAGACUCGUAGCCCAAAGGAUGCUGGUUCGACUCCAACCCGCCAGGUUGGUGUGGGGAGUAUUUAACCAGUGCUCUCCCCCAUCCUCCUCCCUGACUGAGGUACCCUGAUCAUGGUACCGUCCCGCCACACUGCGCCAUUGGGGACUGCCCCCUUGCAUGGAUGAGGCAGAAAUGCAAUUUUCUAGUGUGCAGUGUUCACUUGAAUUUUGUGGAGUACUGUGUCACAGUGAAUUUAAAUGUAUUACUUUAAUAAAUGUUAAUGACAAGUAGAAAUGGGCAGCAUAGUUGCAAUGCCUAGUCUUGCCACCCUUGUAAGAUCAGAUAACUAACUUUUAGUGUCUGUUUUCACCCUUGUAAGAUCAGAUAACUAACUUUUAGUGUCUGUUUUCACAGAAAUUUGUCUAGCGUGACACUUCUCCACAAUCCACAUGUAAACAGGCAUUUAAAAACAAUAUGGCCAUUGGUCUUGUCCUCUAGGUCCUCUAGGCCCAAGCUGUUAGGGCAGCACAGUACAAUAAAUUAAGUUGCCAAAAAAAACUUAAAAUAUUCCUCUGUGGUAUUAAAAAAAAUAUGCUUUCCAUGUAGAUGUGUGCAUUCUACUGUUCUCCACUUCUGUGAAGCAAUACUAUAGGAUGAGGGUGAAAAUGGUGUUUAUAUAUAUUUUUUUUCAGCAGCAAGACAUUCUAAAAUUUCUUCCAGAAGGGAGGAACGCUAAUUAUUGGUUUAGCAAAGGGUCCAGAGCAAUAUUGUCCGCCAUUCUUGCUGUGUGAUCCAUUUAACUUUCCAAUAAAUGUCCCUCCAGGGUGUGGCCUACCAUUUUGGCACUGUACCUUUAAACAAAGUCUUGGGUAGGCUGUGGCAUUCCAACAAAUAUAAAUUGGUUCUAAUUGGCCCAAAAUGUGCUUAGGAAAUAUCCCUAUGCCAUUAUAUCUCCUGCAUGAAACGUUGAUGUAAGACAGAGUCCAUCUUUUCAUGUUGUUAUCGACAAAAUUCUGUCAAUUCCACCUGAGAGUGUAGAUGUAGAUAUCAAGACUCAUCAGACUAGGCAACAUUUUUCCGAUCUUUUAGUGUCGUUUAUGGUGAGCCAGUCGAAAUUGUUGCCUCAUUUUCCUGUUCUUGGCUGACAGGAGUGGCACCAAAUGUGUUUUUCUGCUGCUGUAACCCAUUUGCCUCAAGAUGUGCUGUGUAAUCAGGGAUUCUCUUAUGCAUACCUUUGUUGUACUGAGUGGUUAUUUGACUUAAUGUUGCCUUUGUAUCAGCUCCAACCAGUCUGGCUAUUCUCCUCUGCCAUCAACAAGACAUUUUUGCCCACAGAAUCGCUGCUCACUGUAUUCCCCCCCUUACCAUUGUUUGUUAACCCCAGAGAUGGUUAUGUGUGAAUAUCCCAGCAGAUCAGUCUUUUCUGAAAUAUUCAAAUCAAUCCCUUUCAGCACCAACAGCCAUGCCAUGUAUAUAAAUAAAUCUCUCUCUUUUUUCUUCUCCUGUCUGCUCCUCUCUGGUCAUAGGUUGAUGCUUUCAAUGCAUUGGAAGUUCCAGCAUGUUCCAGUGAAUUCCAAUUCUUCAUGCAUUAUUGAUUUCACACACACACACACACACACACACACACACACACACACACACACAUACACACACACACACGUCUUGUCAUGUACACAGACAUGCCGUUUUAUUCAUAGUUAUUUUGUUUGGGCUGUUUAUGUUUCUAUUUGGAGUAUUUUUUUUAUUUCAAAUAAAAGAUUGAACCAUUCAAGCACAGGUUGUACAGCUGUGGGUUAUUUACUUCAUGUUCAUUGCAUCAUGUUCAUGUUCAUUUGCAUCCUGCAUUGAGUGGUUUGACAGGUCUGAUGAUGACCAGCAUCAUAAAGGCUGAAAUUAACAAAUGCUAUAUUACUGUAGGCCUACAACUGGGACAUGUUGGGUUUAUGUAUUUAUCUUUUUAUGUAUUGGAAGUAUUUUAUCCAUUAAAAUGUCCUUCUGCUGAAUCCAAAACAAAUAGACAUUAUCAAGGGCUACGGACAAUUAGCAUCUCAAUGGUAAGUAAUGGAGCUUCCUAGCUAAGAUGACGUUUCCCUCCCAAAGUGUAACUGCAAUGAUAUUACCGUAUUACGGUACUGACACUUCAAUGUUUUUAUAUGACAAUGAAGGCCAUAAAAUGGCCUACAAAAAACAAAACGAACUCGUUCUUUUGGGGGCGGCAUAAUCUGAUAUAAUUACCGUUAAAGGACGCUCUCGCUCAAUGAAAUGUAUUGACAGCUCCCGGUGUAUAGGACCCUUCUGCGGUGGGCGUAGACUACGCAAACCACGUGACCACUCGUCGGCAAAGAUCAAAGGAUGCUCCAACUCUUUUCUCUAC